UCUUAUGAAUGGGCAAAGAAAGUGUUUUUUUGAUAUAGAAACUACUCCUGGUGAAGUUGCUGUGAA
rnacentral:pre_miRNA from 1 species